ACCGUUCCUGCUUCAGUCCACUCUGACUGGAUUAAACUUGUGCUGCUUCUUUUUAUACUGUUCCAGUUUCACGCUCUUUUUCUACUUGCGACUUUCAACCAAUCCCAUGCCAGCUCCAGCCCCUAGAAACAGCUGUGUCAUCAAUUCUGCCCAGAUACCUGUCUAACGGACCAUCUACCACAAGAUGUAAAAUUCCUCACAUUCAAAUCCUAGAAACAAAACAGAUUAACUCCUUCAUUGCCACCAUACAUAUAUG